CUGUGAAAUAGGUAUAUGUUUGUGAAAUUUGACGAAAGCGAGAAGGAAAGCUCUAUAGCACGGUUCAGCGCAGCGAUAAAAAACAAAUCUAUACUGUUAGGACAAGGUGCAAUGGCUGACGACCGAAAUAACCACCGGGGCUUCGUCAGGCAGCCACACGGGGCAGGACACUCGUCUCCCCCGCCACCAGCGCCGAGUUCGGGCCCUGGUCCAGGAGAUCCGGCGUCUCCCAGAUCCGUUCAGAAGGAGAACUCGCCUCCUCGUGGUCCUCGAACCCUUCUGCUCCGGCGCAGCGAGAAUGGCUACGGAUUCACGCUGCGACAUUUCAUCGUCUAUCCGCCCGAGUCCUGUUGCAUGCUGCCGGGACACGAGCGGACCAAGGUCGACGAGCCCAUGGACACGAUCUUCGUGAAACAGGUGCGGGCGAAUUCGCCGGCGGCUGAGGCAGGUUUGCGCACUGGUGACCGCGUCGUCUCCGUCGACGGGACGCCUACCCGGGGUGAGCAGUACGCCAGCGUAGUGCAACGCAUUCAACAAGCGGGACCGUGGCUACGCCUCCUCGUAGUCUCCAAGGAGGACGACAUUCUGCAACGGUACUUUGGCGAUACGGCGCAUAAUCCUGAAACGAAUCAACGACCGCGAUUGCGUUCCCCGGAGAGACUAUCGCAGAAACAACGCAAGUCGAUGAGCAGCAUGAUCCCGGGCGGAUCGCCGAGAACGCGACAAUCUUGGGUUUGUUCUCUACCGUCAUCCGAGAGUCCAAAUCAUCAAGAGGAAGCGAUGUGCAGGAUGUCGCCGUCAACGAUGUCUCAAUUUCCGAUUAUGGAAUCUCAAAUCGCGAACGCAUUGCAGCAACAGAAACAGCAGCAACGAAGAGGCAUCUCGGAAGCAAGCGCAUUAUACGAUCUUUCGGAGGACUCUCGAGUUCCGGGGAGGAAAUUGCAGUUGCUGCGUGAGGAUAAUGUGCAACCGAGCGGCCGAUUGUCCCUGGAUUCGAAAUACGAUCUGUAUGAUAGGACGCGGCCCGAGUCGGUGUACUCACGGCCAAGCAACGAACAGCUCUACGACAGAAUCAACGAUCCGAUUUACGAGCGUGUGCGCGUCAGCGAGCACCAUCCACAGCAUUAUUAUCAGCCGUCUUUGUUACGUUAUCCGGUCUCGCAAGCAGAGCCGCAGGUGCCGAUCUACCGGCCGAUCAAGCGAAUGGUGGCUCGACGAGCCAGUGAGGGCAGCGGCAACAUUGAUUCUGAGAUGGCGAGUUACGGCAGCAUCGACGCGCUGAGAUCGAGCGAGUCCAGCAGAUUGAGCAUGGAAUCGAGACGGGACUCGUCGCCCGCCGCUAGCAAGGACAGCAUGUCUCCCUACGAUUCAAAUUCGACUCUAACCGGCAACGAGUGCUCCGACGAUUCCGUCAUUAUGAACAGACUCCGUAAGAGCUUCGAGCAGAAGGCGGAAUUUCUCCGGCGGCCGAGUUAUCCCGUCGGUUGGUCUGUCGAGCCGUCGCUGCUACCGAACAUCGAUCAAUCCGCGGUGAUCCAGAGGGAAUUCUACGCAAGGCCGCAAAAGCUGCAGAGACAAAUCUGGCCGCCUGGUCAGAAUGAACAACAGCAGAGACAGCAAUCUCCUACGAGAAGGUCUCAAGAGAGGAAUGUCGUUACCAAGACCGUCACGAGUUUGAAUAAGCCGUCAAAUCAGAGCGUGCAGAGGAUAAAGGACGUGGACUCUAACUCUGAGUAUUCGAAGCCGCGCAACGAUCAACAACUUGGAGACAAUCAGUCUGUAGCUGGAGAUCACUGUUACUCGCCAUCGCUUCUCUAUGACAACGAGCUCGCGAAGGAACAGCAAUACCGAGGCGCUGGCAAAGGUAGUUUCGUCAGCAUCCUGUCGAGAAUACACGAGAACAUUAGUACAAAUCAGCAACAGACGUCAGAAGAGACGCGAAACGGUUCCUCGUCGCUACCAUCUUCCCCGGGACCGGACAAGAAAGCCGGCAACGACAGAUUUCCGGUACCGCCGCAGGGCUUGCAGAUCGUCUCGAGACGCGCUAAACAGUUCGAGUCCGGUCGUUUGCUGAGCGACGAGGAUGAGCCCGCUGGUGAUCGAACGAAUCUUUACAAGAGCGAAUUGUCCAGAUUGUCAAAUAAGAGAAGUGUACCGAAUGUAGCUGUGCGAAAACGAGAGUUCGAGUCGAAAGCCGAGAACCAGGACUCGAGAAGAUUACCGGCCAGAGAAACGAAAUCUCUUGACACUGGUGCAGCAUUGACAGGCAACAGAAUAAUUCCUAUAGGCAGCAAGCAUAUCCAUUGCGAGCCACCAGCCGACUAUAAAGAGAGUAAAGAUGUGCCUACUAUGGAGACAGAAUCAGUGCGUUUGAGAGCACGCAGCAACAGCGCGGAGUCCUGGGAGGCUACGAACGGUCCAGCGGCACGGAGCAACGCCAGGCAUACGUGGCAGACCGCCGAGGAGGAAGGUAGCACCGAGGACAACAAUAAAGCCUACCGCAAUCAGGACAAUUAUUUACAGUCGGCCAAACUGCAAAUCGCACCAGUCAAUGGUUCUUCGCCCAACGGCUCGACCAAUAACGCUGCGGUACUUAGGCGACAGAAGAAUGCACGGAUCAGUGACGAGGAUCGUGCUACCAGACGGGUUUCGUAUCUGAAGGCAACCUGGGGCGAACGAAUGCACGUUGAUAGCGAUCUGGAGCUCAGCGAUUCCGAACCCGUUCACAUUCACAGAAAUGCGCAUAGACGAUGGCGGCCGCCGUUAUUUCCGAGCGACAUAACGCCUUUGCGACGCAUCUUCGAAGAUAUGACGCAGGUUGCAUCCUUACAUCGAAACUCUCAUCAUCGUAACAGCAUUGCUGUAACGUCAAACAGCUGCGACGAAACUGCGAAGGAUACUGAACCAGUAGAACGGGAGGGAACACUCCAUGUCAAAUUCACAGUGCUCGAUGGCAAGCGAUCUACCGAUCGUUCCUGGAAGCAAGUUUGGGGUGUUCUUCGUGGUCCUAUAAUUUAUUUUUACAAGGAUCGUCAUAGUCAGUCGUUACAAAGUCCUUCGUUGAGCACCGAGAGCGAAACAAAUGCAGGACAAAGUGUCGAUGUCAGGUGCUCCGUGGUCGACGUUGCCGAAGAUUACACGAAACGGAAACACGUAUUGAGAGUGGCAAAUCCUACGGCAGAGGUGCUUUUACAGACCGAGGAUGCGGCAUCCAUGGCCCUCUGGUUAAGGUCACUUCAUUCUCACGCCGCUGCAGAAAGAUCAUCGGACGCCAUAUCUUGUACGUCGAAGCAGCAAGCCGUUCCGCAAACUCCGACAGGUCCCACAACUCCGAAUAGCGGCGUUCCUCCGAACAACGUCCAAAGAUUGAGUCCUCUGCCGAGUCAUAAAGGCAUCAAAAAACUAACAUCGUUUAGGAAUCGAUCCCCAACAGGUCAAUCGCCAGUGAACAAGACGCGCAAGCCGAGUAAUCAGAUGGUGGAACCUUUACCGUCGCCCAAGUCGAAGACUUGGAAAGGACGAAUGGCGAAACAGUUCAGAAGGAUGCACGGUCAAGCCGGCGGCGCGCCAUCCUCCCCCACGGCACAAUCACCGCCAGAAGGGGCCACUUUCAAAGUGCCCCUCGAGAUCUGUCCAGCGUCUUCGUUUUCCGAGUACGUGCCACUGAUCGUCGAAAUGUGCACGAGUAUCGUCGAGGCAAGAGGUCUUGAGGUUGUUGGAAUCUAUAGAGUGCCAGGAAACACCGCUGCGAUCGGUCAGCUCACGGACAAUGUCAACAGAGGAUUCGAGAACAUCAACUUCCAGGAUCCGAAAUGGAGCGAUGUUAAUGUGAUAUCGUCGUUGCUGAAAUCGUUUUUCCGUCAACUUCCCGAUUCUUUGCUCACGGCGGAUCUAUAUCCCAUGUUCAUCGACGCCGAUAAGAUAGAAGAUCCGCAGAGGAGAAUGAUCACGAUACGAAAAUUAUUACGAGAUCUUCCGGAACAUCACUUUGAGACACUGAAAUAUUUAAUGCAGCAUCUAAAGAAGAUAGUGGAGCACAGUGAGAUCAACAAAAUGGAGGCAAAGAAUUUAGCCAUCGUUUUCGGGCCAACACUGGUGCGGGCGAGUGGUUCAAGAGAUAAUAUGGUCACCAUGGUCACCGAUAUGUCGCAUCAAUGUAGGAUAGUCGAGAGUCUGCUGAACAAUGUCGAUUGGUUCUUCUCAGAGGACGAUCUAGACGACUUGAGCAGAUUAAGCGUAAAUUUAAGCCUUCCGACCGACAGUUGCGAAGUUGAACCAGCAUCCAAUCAUAGUCUUCUGUUAAACAAUAUUCAGAAAAUCGAAGGCAUGCGCGACAUGGCAUCUGCUAAAGACAUUGUAUCUUCAAUCAUAUCCGCAGCUAAUAAAAAGAUACAAAGAAGACGAAAAAAUCAGGACGAAAUCGAUAACAGUGAACACGAUAACGAUAAGGUCAAGUUGAAACAAGAAUCGGAGAAUUUGCAGACGAUUCGACGACAGAGUAUGGCUUUAAAUGAACGACAGUGUUCCGUCAGUGAGAUCGUGCAGAUGCAUGAGAGCAAGAGUCAACCGAAUCAUUCUACGGAUCGUUCCCUGUCGGUUGACAGUAAUAACAGUGGUUCAUCACACGGAACGUGUUCGUCGAGUCGUACCAAGUACGCAUUUCAAUCCGCGCCACCAUCUGUAGACUCCACGAGAUUAUCGAUCGACACUGGUUUAAGUUCAGCGGAAACGGGCUCCACUGUGUCCAGCAACGCAUCUAACCAGACGAAGCAAAGUAACGACGAAAUAGCUAUUUUAACGUACGCUGGUUUAAGUGCGACCACGCAGGAGAGAGUACGGAGAUUUGAGGAAGAAACGAAAGCGAUGCUGCAGAGAGACCAGCAUCGACAGAGGCUCGAAGCCGAGAAGAGGGAGGAGGAGAGACGAAGGAUCGAGAUAGAGUGGCAAUUGGCGAAACGAGAGAUGGAGAAUGACGAUCUGCUCGACAGUAUAGUUGAUACUACGGUGUCGCCGAGCCUCUUGUCGGAACGUCUGUCUAGUCUGAACGAGAGACUUGCCGAUAAAUCAUUGAUAGAUUUGUCCGAAAGACACGGCAGAUCGCGUUCGACCACGAGACCACCGCUAUCAAUAGCCGUGCAACAACAGCCCAUGAUGCACCAAAAAGCACAAGCUACUAAUCAACUGACUAGCAUACUGGGGGAGAAGAUGAAUAACGGCGUCAUUAAGAAAUUUAAAACGGAUAAAGAUCCGUCGAUGGAGUCGAUUUGUUUGCCACCAGUUCGAUACGGAAGUCUGGAUUCCUUGCACGAGGUUCACAAUCUCUCGCAGUCCUCUCCGUCACCAUCACAGCAGCAACGAGGCGUUCCCGGUGAUGGCUCGGAUGAUGCAGGAUCUUGUUUUCUGCAGUGGACACAGAAGAUACUCACUAUUAACAAAAAGCUUUCUAGGCACACAGCAAGCGCGGGCUUUUGGUGGUACAUAUCGUCCCACCUAUACGGUACCGCAAGUCCCGGUGGCACCGCCGCGAAGACACCGACCCAGUCGCCAAUGUCAAUGCCAGUGCCGGUCACAGCGGUCCCAAUGCCAAUGCCCGUGCCCGUGUCGGUGCCAGCAGCAGCAGCAGCAGCAGGAGCAACAACAGCAGCCGCAGCAGCAGCAGCAUCAUCGCUGGCAACUGCUGUCGCGUCUGCAGCAACUACCGCAUCAUCGGCGAACAACGAGCCCGCCACCGCCAAGGCUCUAAACCGAUUCCUCCGAGGUAGCGACCUUCUAACGACCCUUACAACCACGUUCGAUCGCAAGUGGAGGUCUCUCAUCAAUCAGUCGUCGAAUCAAGCGCAGCCUCCUCCAGAAUCAGCAUCCUGCAACAAGAACGACAUCACGGAGCAGCAGGAGCAGAAGCAGAAGCCGAGUGCGUCCCCGAGAACCAAGUAUCCGUCUACGGAAGCCUAUCGCGACCCGAGUCUUCACAAAUCGCUCGACAAGAGUCACCUCGCUCGCCCGAAGGAUGACGCUCCCGAGAAGGACACCGAUUCAACGGUAGCCGACAAUAUCCCUUCGGAGUCCAUCACGCCGAACAACGACCGUGGCGCGAACGACAAGCAGAGGCUGGAAACGAAGCCUAUGACAAAUAAUGCGACGGAGAACGAGGGACAGAAAGAUGUGGAUGAAGGGGAUGAUUGUCUGCGCGCGGGAAACCCGAAACGAUACGAAUUAUCAAGUGAGAAGGAGCUUCAGGAAAGUAAAUCGGAGAAUAAUGAUGUAAGUGCAAAGGUGGAGGACAACAGUAGGAGCCACCAUUAUUACGAGACCGGAGACUCCAGUUACUCCAACAAGCUGAAAAAAUUUGAGAGCCUGACGAAUUCUCAGGCGAGGUCCCGCCUGAAACGGUCGGAGUCUCUGAACAAGAGGACAUGCGAGAACACCACCUCGCGACUGAAGAGAUCGGAGAGCUUAAAUAAGCAUUCGACUGAGAGGCUGUCGCCGCUCAAACGAUCCGAGAGCUUGAACAAACAUUCCGGCGACCGAUCGGAGUCGCCGGGCAGCAAGCUGAAACGCUCGGAAUCAUUGACGAAGACCGAGAAGACCGAGUGCAAUAUCAGCAAACGGCGGCAAUCGGUGCGAAAGGAAAGCGCCACGAAGUUAAAGCGGAAGAACGGAAUGUCGGAACGGUCAAUCAAACGAAGGCACACAGUCGGCAGCACCAAGGACUUCGACAAGGUGCACUGGCUCGAUAACAAACUGCAGUCGGAGGCCGAAAGGGUCAUCAGGAGCGACUAUAGACCGAAAAAGAGCCAGCUCAGAACCAGCUCGCCCGAUCUCAGCACCAAUCGAGUUGGCAUGGCCGACACAAGCUUUCUGAUCGAGGUAAGCUUUCGCGGGCCUAGCAACGUCGUCUUUAACGUAACCAACGCUGCUCGGCCGCAGUCAUUGCCGGACGCGAGUCUCGCGUCCAAGGUUUUCAAGGUGCCCCUCGAGAGUCACGUAUAAUACGCUACGAAUAAGUUACUCCGACACAUUUCUAUAUUCACCACCAAAUAAUACAUGCACACAAUGCUGCUGUCAUAUCUAUACCUACCUGCCAUCAUUUUUAAUACUUUUACCGGUUUAUAUUAUAUAUAAACCAAUCUGUAUACCAGAUAUAUAUCUUAUUUUAUAUAUAUCUUAUAUAAAAAAUAAUUAGAUCGCAUCCACAUCUAAGUUCGUUCCGCCGGAAACGCUGACAUUAUUCAUUAAUCGCCAGUGUGCCAAAGAGCUAUCACUCUAUGAAUCGUUUAUCGUUGUCAAACGAUAAUAUCGAAAAUUUGUUUACGACGGCUAGAAUGAAUUAGAUAAAGGAGAAGGUACCUCUGUCUCUGCACUGAUAAUGUUUCAGUCUUUAAUCGAGUUAAAUUUAUAACGCGAGAUCGUUACAACGAUCGAGAAUUGUUCUGAAUUAACGAACCAGAAGCAAUUAGACUCUAAAGAAAAAGAUGACGGUUUAUUGAUCUGCAGACAGCGGAAUUAGAGCUAAUUGCAAGUUGCAUUGAAGAAAUGUAAGAAAGUUAUUUAGUGAUUAUAUAUUGCAUGUGGUAUUUGCAUUGUGUCAAUUUUAUAUAUAUAAAUAUAUAGAUAAUAUAAAUAUAUAUAUAUAUAUAUAUAUAUAUACAUUAUCUUACUUGUGUGAAUUGUGAUUGUGACAUUUUUUUGUACAUUCGUAAUUUAUUGCAUAUCCCCGCAGGGCUCGCAAUCUACUACCAAUACUAUCCUUCUCCUCUCACUUUAACCCUUUGGACCAACGGCUUAACGUCUCUUUGCGAAAGACGGAGCCCAGUUUUCUCCCCACAAGUAUAAAAUUCCUAUAAAUGCUUUUAUUUCCUCGAGAUGAGUUUCGGGUGAUAAUGUUUUACAACUUUUUUGUCUUCUUGCAAUCUCAGUGUUAGUAUAACUUAUUAUUGUAUCUAGCAUUUCAUUAGUAAAAAGAAGAGACCAUACUUCUAUUGGAGUAUCCUUAUCCUUCGUAUCGCCCAACACUUCAGGUUCAUAAUUCGAUUCUUCGUCUGCUUCUGUUUGUAUUCUUCUCUUCUCUUUUUCCGUCGGCGGUAUAACGGACCAUUUGAAAUAGUUGGUGCCAUACAAAAAACGUCUCGCCAAUUUAGUUUUUUUGCGUCGACGAAUGUGCUGCCCCUUCCUCUUCACUUUCCGAUUCUACGAUAUCACUAUAUGCCUCUUCUUCGGUUGCGAUGUCACUCAGUUCCUCAAUAUAAUUGCUUUCUGAGGAACUUUCAUUAUCAGGUUGAUCUUUCUGCUUUGGCAUAUUUUUUUCUGUUCGAGCGAUUCUCGCGAGCGAUGACUUUCUAGAUUUCCAAUAUCUUUGAAAUGUGCAAUUGGUGUAUUGCACGUUUUGCAGGUCGCUUUGGUUUCUUUAAGUGAGAGGAGAAGGAUAGUAUUGGUAGUAGAUUGCGAACCCUACGGGGAUAUGCAAUAAAUUACGAAUUUUACAGAAAUUUACAUUUUAUUGUACAUAAGAUGUAUAAUGCGAGAUGGUUCGAUUAAAUAUAGUAAGGUGAUUAUAUUGUAUGUCUUUAAAUUUAUAUUUUAAUAAUCACUCAAUGAUCAUGUUCUAAGCGCGUGCGAAACUGGCUCGAUCCUCGUGUACGGAUUGGUACUUGUUACGCGAGAAUGCAUUAUUUUUAACGCAUGUGACAAAGGUGGACUUUUAGGAUAAAAAUCAUGACUGCGUUUUGCGGGCGUAUAAUCGCCGGAACACGUCGUCGCAAGCGAUACACUUGAAAGUUCUUUGAAAGAUAGCAUCCAUAGUGUUUAAGAAAACUGUUUUUUUACGUAAGCUCUCCGAUGAAAAGUCUAUGAUGUGAUAAAUUUUAAUCGAUCGCGCGUCUAUUGAUGUACGUACACAUAUCGUUAUGCGUGCUGCGGUUGAAUGCUGUGCGUGUGUGCGGAACUUUACACGAGCGCGUGUGAAUACCUAUUUUCUAUGUGCAUUGUGAUCGAUAUUAACGAUCAGUCUAACAAUAAGUACUACUACUAUUACGUCAUUGUAAAAUUUAUCGUGCAGUAAAGAAGGCAGAACGCGAACGGUGCCGUCAAUUAUAAUGUACAUUUGGUGCCUCGCAUAAUGGGAAAUCUGCUCGUUCCAGGAUGAACAAAGAUUCCUACGUGAUCGGAUGGAAUCACGUCGUUUGCCUAGCUCGGCCGGAUUUCCCAUUGUGCCCCGUUACGAGGAUGAUACGUUAACUGGUGCAACACGUAUGUGUAUCGUUCUUGUAUCGCCGUAAGACAGUUACUCUCAGACGCUUGGGUCUUCUGUGUGGAUCGUUAGUGUUGCAUUAUUUGUAUACCCCCCGAGAUACUUUACACUUUACACUAUGCAAAACUCUGUCUUUAUCUUACCUAUAAUUUGCGUUAAGCGGUCAACGCGCCGCGUCGUGCUUGUAUCCAAGUUAUCGAUAAAUGAAUAUCAAAUCCGAGUGGAGAAACCCACCAAUUCAAUGCUGCGACUGGAAUUUCGAUCGCGGAUAUGAUACGUCCGCGAAUUAUAGAGGAAUUUGCGCGCGAUAUAUUAACUUUAAUAUCGUUAAUGUAUACAUGUCGAAUUCACUCGGAAUCGGCGCAAUAUGUUGCUACGAUAAGUUUAUGUGUUGGAAGAUUUAAUGUGUAAAUACGUACGUGCAGCUAAAUUUUGCGCGAGUCACCGUACAUCACGUGUUAUCUGUUCUGUCUGUCUGGAGCGACGCCCAGUCGUUUAAACAAUUUUACGUAAUACCAUAGUUAUUGUUCGCGCGAAUCGUGGAAUCCGAAGCGUAAAGUAGCCGAGACAAUCGAUUUGAUUAUGCAUGUAAAUACAAAUGUAACUAAAUUCUAAGAGACGACGGUAAGAAGCGAUAUUUAUUUCGAGAGGGACAGCGAUUGCGAUCGCGUUAUUUAUUAUUAACCCAAGCGGAUACGUUUGUCGCGAAUUCUUAAAGGAGCACGAAAUUGUAAAUAAAUAUAUUACUAUGAGAAAAA